ACGAACGCUGGCGGCGUGCCUAAUACAUGCAAGUCGAACGCUUCUUUUUCCACCGGAGCUUGCUCCACCGGAAAAAGAGGAGUGGCGAACGGGUGAGUAACACGUGGGUAACCUGCCCAUCAGAAGGGGAUAACACUUGGAAACAGGUGCUAAUACCGUAUAACAAUCGAAACCGCAUGGUUUUGAUUUGAAAGGCGCUUUCGGGUGUCGCUGAUGGAUGGACCCGCGGUGCAUUAGCUAGUUGGUGAGGUAACGGCUCACCAAGGCGACGAUGCAUAGCCGACCUGAGAGGGUGAUCGGCCACAUUGGGACUGAGACACGGCCCAAACUCCUACGGGAGGCAGCAGUAGGGAAUCUUCGGCAAUGGACGAAAGUCUGACCGAGCAACGCCGCGUGAGUGAAGAAGGUUUUCGGAUCGUAAAACUCUGUUGUUAGAGAAGAACAAGGAUGAGAGUAACUGUUCAUCCCUUGACGGUAUCUAACCAGAAAGCCACGGCUAACUACGUGCCAGCAGCCGCGGUAAUACGUAGGUGGCAAGCGUUGUCCGGAUUUAUUGGGCGUAAAGCGAGCGCAGGCGGUUUCUUAAGUCUGAUGUGAAAGCCCCCGGCUCAACCGGGGAGGGUCAUUGGAAACUGGGAGACUUGAGUGCAGAAGAGGAGAGUGGAAUUCCAUGUGUAGCGGUGAAAUGCGUAGAUAUAUGGAGGAACACCAGUGGCGAAGGCGGCUCUCUGGUCUGUAACUGACGCUGAGGCUCGAAAGCGUGGGGAGCAAACAGGAUUAGAUACCCUGGUAGUCCACGCCGUAAACGAUGAGUGCUAAGUGUUGGAGGGUUUCCGCCCUUCAGUGCUGCAGCUAACGCAUUAAGCACUCCGCCUGGGGAGUACGACCGCAAGGUUGAAACUCAAAGGAAUUGACGGGGGCCCGCACAAGCGGUGGAGCAUGUGGUUUAAUUCGAAGCAACGCGAAGAACCUUACCAAGUCUUGACAUCCUUCUGACCGGUACUUAACCGUACCUUCUCUUCGGAGCAGGAGUGACAGGUGGUGCAUGGUUGUCGUCAGCUCGUGUCGUGAGAUGUUGGGUUAAGUCCCGCAACGAGCGCAACCCUUAUUGCCAGUUACUACGCAAGAGGACUCUGGCGAGACUGCCGUUGACAAAACGGAGGAAGGUGGGGAUGACGUCAAAUCAUCAUGCCCCUUAUGACCUGGGCUACACACGUGCUACAAUGGGAAGUACAACGAGUCGCAAAGUCGCGAGGCUAAGCUAAUCUCUUAAAGCUUCUCUCAGUUCGGAUUGUAGGCUGCAACUCGCCUACAUGAAGCCGGAAUCGCUAGUAAUCGCGGAUCAGCACGCCGCGGUGAAUACGUUCCCGGGCCUUGUACACACCGCCCGUCACACCACGAGAGUUUGUAACACCCGAAGUCGGUGAGGUAACCGUAAGGAGCCAGCCGCCUAAGGUGGGAUAGAUGAUUGGGGUG
rnacentral:rRNA from 1 species